ensembl:lincRNA
GGGAGUGAGUGAGCUAGUGAGCCAAAAGUCAGUGCGUGCCGAGUCCCCGGGAGGAGGGUCCCCAGGGAGGGCCCGGUCUGGGCCUCAGGAGCCGCCCCCUCAGCCACUCCAUCUCCUCACGCCCCUGUGGCUCCCUGCCCAUUUCCUGCCCCCAAGGUCCUCCUGGGCCUUCCAGACCCCGGCGGCAGUUACCUGUCCCCUCCCCCACGCGGCAUGCACCUCCCCUUUCCUGCGGCCACCUCGGACCCCGGACGCUCCGCUGCCGGCGCUCUCUUCCCUCUGCUCUUCCCCUCUGCGAGCGAGUGGGAUGAGGGACGCUGAGCCUCGGGGGUGGCGCGAGCCGGGGCCCGGGCGCCUAGACAAUAGUUGAUGCCCAGGGACGGGGCACCUCCGCCCCCUGUUCCGGAGCGCGGCCCCCACCGACUACUUGCAGCCUGCAUUCCGGGGCCCCCUCAGAGCCAGGCUCGGGAGUUGGGCUUAUUCUGCCUCCGCCUCCCCCGCGUCCCCUUGAGGGACGCUGAGCCUCGGGGGUGGCGCGAGCCGGGGCCCGGGCGCCUAGACAAUAGUUGAUGCCCAGGGACGGGGCACCUCCGCCCCCUGUUCCGGAGCGCGGCCCCCACCGACUACUUGCAGCCUGCAUUCCGGGGCCCCCUCAGAGCCAGGCUCGGGAGUUGGGCUUAUUCUGCCUCCGCCUCCCCCGCGUCCCCUGUCCCCUACGGACGCGCCCGGGACUCGAGGCUGCCUUGGGAGGCCGGACUGAGCGCAGUGAUUUAUUGAGGAUUCAGGUAUCAUGGUGAAGAAGACACAGCUUUCAAGGAACUGUAGCAAACGUUCUAAGUCUUUCUGCAAAAGUAUAGAAUGAGGAUGUCAUAAGGGAGUAAUCUCAACACUUUGAUUUUGAGGUGAGAACCUCUCUCCGAAACUGUCAUCACGGUUGGUCCCUGGGAGCAAUUGGAAUCCCACACCCCUCUUGGUAUCAUCAGGCUUCACAUAACAGCAUCCAGUUUUCUUUUCUUUUUUGGCUUUUUAUAGUUACAUUCUUAGGCCUCAUUUUCUAACUUUGUAUCUGUCAGUAGGCAUUGCUAAAGUAUUUCAGCCUCAACAAACCUUAAAUUGCAGCCUCUGAAUUAUGUAAAACCACUGAGUUUUCUUCAGAGUGCUGCAUGUGUAUGGGUGUGUUGAGUGUGUGACACUGUGUAUCAUUUUUAUUUUGAAUAUAGAAUGUCUUUGUUGGGGACUGAGACUGAUAGCCGUAAUAACACUUCAGUGGCAGCAAGAAAAGCAUUGCUGGGAUGGGAGUCACUUGAUGUCUCCUUUAACUUUAGAGACUUAUCAGAAAGCUGCAUUCUGGGUGCCAGUGUGUGAACCCGGGUUCAUUAUGCACUGUCAGAUUGUUAUUUUAAGUACACGUCAAAAGAACCUCUCACAAAAGAGUGAUGUAGCGUAUACUUUAGGUUUGGACUCUUACAAUCAAAGCUAGUUUAUUAAAAUGUUCAUCUGUCCCUGUGCCCUGUUCUCCAGCAAGUUAAACACAUCAACAAGCAACCGCUUUCAUUUAAAGAUAACCAGCCCCUUGUGUGUAUGACUGAGUUAUUUUUGUAUUAAUUGAUGAAAGCAUUUUUUAAAUCUAAAAGUUUAGUGUAUUUUUACUGCCAC